rfam:Schistosoma mansoni strain Puerto Rico chromosome 1, complete genome
AUCCAGCUGACGAGUCACACAUAAGGCGAAAUGCGUAUCCUGGAU